rnacentral:rRNA from 1 species
AACGAACGCUGGCGGCAUGCCUAACACAUGCAAGUCGAACGAGACCUUCGGGUCUAGUGGCGCACGGGUGCGUAACGCGUGGGAACCUGCCCUUAGGUUCGGAAUAACUCCCCGAAAGGGGUGCUAAUACCGGAUAAUGUCUUCGGACCAAAGAUUUAUCGCCUUUGGAUGGGCCCGCGUUGGAUUAGCUAGUUGGUAGGGUAAAAGCCUACCAAGGCGACGAUCCAUAGCUGGUCUGAGAGGAUGAUCAGCCACACUGGGACUGAGACACGGCCCAGACUCCUACGGGAGGCAGCAGUGGGGAAUAUUGGACAAUGGGCGAAAGCCUGAUCCAGCAAUGCCGCGUGAGUGAUGAAGGCCUUAGGGUUGUAAAGCUCUUUUACCCGGGAUGAUAAUGACAGUACCGGGAGUAUAAGCUCCGGCUAACUCCGU